rnacentral:rRNA from 1 species
UACGAAGGGGGCUAGCGUUGCUCGGAAUCACUGGGCGUAAAGCGCACGUAGGCGGAUCUUUAAGUCGGGGGUGAAAUCCUGGAGCUCAACUCCAGAACUGCCUUCGAUACUGUAGAUCUUGAGUCCGGGAGAGGUGAGUGGAACUGCGAGUGUAGAGGUGAAAUUCGUAGAUAUUCGCAAGAACACCAGUGGCGAAGGCGGCUCACUGGCCCGGUACUGACGCUGAGGUGCGAAAGCGUGGGGAGCAAACAGG